rnacentral:rRNA from 1 species
CCGGGGGGGGGGGCUAUAAUGCAGUCGAGCGCGGGAAGCGAGCGGAUCCCCUUCGGGGGUGAAGCUCGUGGAACGAGCGGCGGACGGGUGAGUAACACGUGGGCAACCUACCUGUAAGAUCGGAAUAACCCCGGGAAACCGGGGCUAAUGCCGGGUAAUACUUUUCUUCGCAUGAAGGAAAGUUGAAAGAUGGCCUCUGGCUAUCACUUACAGAUGGGCCCGCGGCGCAUUAGCUAGUUGGUGAGGUAACGGCUCACCAAGGCAACGAUGCGUAGCCGACCUGAGAGGGUGAUCGGCCACACUGGGACUGAGACACGGCCCAGACUCCUACGGGAGGCAGCAGUAGGGAAUCUUCCGCAAUGGACGAAAGUCUGACGGAGCAACGCCGCGUGAACGAUGAAGGUCUUCGGAUCGUAAAGUUCUGUUGUUAGGGAAGAACAAGUGCCGUGCGAAUAGAGCGGCACCUUGACGGUACCUAACGAGGAAGCCCCGGCUAACUACGUGCCAGCAGCCGCGGUAAUACGUAGGGGGCAAGCGUUGUCCGGAAUUAUUGGGCGUAAAGCGCGCGCAGGCGGUUCCUUAAGUCUGAUGUGAAAGCCCACGGCUCAACCGUGGAGGGUCAUUGGAAACUGGGGAACUUGAGGACAGAAGAGGAGAGUGGAAUUCCACGUGUAGCGGUGAAAUGCGUAGAUAUGUGGAGGAACACCAGUGGCGAAGGCGACUCUCUGGUCUGUUUCUGACGCUGAGGUGCGAAAGCGUGGGUAGCAAACAGGAUUAGAUACCCUGGUAGUCCACGCCGU